GAUGUAUUUGAUGUAGAUUACACAUACAACUGUAUGCAAUAUUCUGUCCCGUUUUUAACCAUUGCUUCACUUCAUGGAAAUCAUACAUAUACUUUUUGUAUGAUGCCGACAGAUAACGUAGUUAUUUCCCCGCUCUUUUGUCAACCACUCUAUGUACCUAUGGUUGGAGAGAAAACUCAUAAUGCGACGGAUUCCAUUCAAAACACUAGCAAUAAUAAGCAGUUUUCGGUCGCCAUGCUGGUCUUAAUUCUUUUUGUUUCCACAAUUUUUGGAGCAAUAAUUGCAUAUCUUGGUAUCAAAGCCUACCCGGAUCUUUUAGAGGGCUCAAAGAACGUAUUAAUAAUUAAAAAGUUGGAUAAAACAUGCUAUAUAUCAACAAUAACAGAAUCCGAAUACACAAUAGAUGAAAAAAAAAGAAAAUACUUUGGUGCAAAAAUUUUCAAUGAUAAUCAGCAUCCUUUUUCAGAAGAAACAGUUGUGGAUACUAGAAGUGUUCUAGGCAAGGUUUAUAAAGUAGACGAGUAUGAAAUGCCUAAAGAACUGGAUUAUUCAAUAAAAGAGUAUAGUGAACUCAGUUAUGGAAGUACCCUCACCAUUCCCCCACCAUUACCAAAGCGUAAUUCUAAUAAUUUAAUAUUCAAUUAAAACAAGAAAUAAUAAAAGUUCACAAUGGAUUAUUGGAUGGGUAUAUUGGAAAUUGCGUCAUAGAUAUUCAUUAACAAAUUUAUAGAUGUUAAAUUUAACAUGAAAUUUGCCAUCCCCAACAGUUAUUAACAUUUAAAAUGUCAUGUACCAGCAAAAACGACAACGAUCAAAUGCUCCUAAAUGUUCAGGACAUAGUCUUGAGGUGAAUAGAUCAUUAAUCGUUGUGCUGUGCCAACUAUUCAACAAGCAAGGUAGUCGAUUGUAAAUAGCAAAAAAGGUGAGGCAUUUCAACUUCAGCGUCACGUGAAUCAGUCCUUUUUGUAUUGUUGUCUGUCUUGUUGACCCCACCAGGCGUUUAAUUUAAAACUAUCGAUUAUUUGUGGCGAAACAUCGAUGUUUAGUUGUAUGUCUUGUCCCGUCUCUAUGAAAGAAAAAACUAAAGAGAGAAGGAGAAGCACGAGAGGUGGGUCGGCUUGGAUGUGUUGGCAAAAGUACAAUUAAGCGAUGGCAAAAUUUAAACAAGCACAGGGCGUUGAGAAGCCGUUGGCAUUGAUUCAGGAAGUGCAAACUCGUUGGAACAGUGCGUUAAAUAAAUAAUUCAAUUUUUAGAGGAAUACAGACGGAAUUAUGCCUUUUAAAGCUGCUGCCCAAAAAUAUCUGUGCGUCACGGCCACGGCCAGCGAGUCUGAGCGAAUGUUCAGCAAGGCCGGUCAAAUUAUUUCUGAUCGUCGUAUUCGCCUAAAGCCGAAAGUAGUAGAUCAGUUAAUGUUUCUAAACAAAAAUCAGGACUUGUUUUAAGAUAUAAUCUAGGGAAUUUACUUUUUUUAUGUUGCUGGACUAAAGCUAUGAGCUAUUGAAAGUGAAAUUAUCUCCAA